rnacentral:rRNA from 1 species
CACGUAGGCGGGUAAUCAAGUCGGUUGUGAAAUCCUCUGGCUCAACCAGAGAACUGCAGCCGAAACUGUUUACCUUGAGUCCAGCAGAGGGAAUCGGAAUCCUGGGUGUAGCGGUGAAAUGCGUAGAUAUCCAGGAGAACACCAGUGGCGAAGGCGGAUUCCUGGGCUGGUACUGACGCUGAGGUGCGAAAGCGUGGGGAGCGAACA